AGCGAGUGUAGCUGAACUGAAAGAAAACAGUUCCCCCAUGAUGCCGCUCUCAACAAGUUUUGGGGAGGAUUAUGCUGAACGUACGAUGGCUCCAAAAUUCUGCAUCUUACGCUAAAACAAUCUAGAUGUCUGAAAAGCACUACAGGUAAGUGGGAAAAUGAGUCACACCUGCACCAGAUAGGUGUGUGUGUGUGUUUGUGUGUCUGAGGGUGUGAUUGUCCCGCGAAAUGAGAAAAAGAGCAUUUCCAUAUAUCCGGACAAACAGGAUCUGCCGUGGAGCUCCUGCUUAAUCAAACCGGUGACUCAUCUUUUCAUCGAUGCGCCGCGUCGCGCUGAAGACAGAGCUGAACUCCGUGUGUGCAGAAACAAACAAAGGAACAGACUUUUUUCUCUCCUGAGAUGAGAGGAGUUGGGAGAAUCUACCGAGGUCCUCUUUGAAGAUCAGCACUGACGUACGAAAGUAUAAAUAAAAUGUGUCUUCAAAAGAUGAAAACUCGAGACCGCAUCAGUUUGGCAGCAUGUUUCAGAGUCGGCUGACACCGUUUCUGGAGCUAAAAUAAACACCGCACACGGAGUCAAUAUUUGCACCAGAUCCUUCAUGUCCUGCACUGUCGACCACAUCUUUCUGACAGGUUCGAACGCCCCGCAGCCACCCUCUGUGUUAUAAUAGGCAGGUUUGCUAUGGGUGGGGCGAUGUCGCCUUGUGUGCUAUUGGGUUUUUUUUUUUUUCCUUUUCUUUUUCGGCUGCAUGUGAAUGUUCCCCCGUCCCUGUCAACACUCUGAAAGUCAAUCCUCCCUCCGGCGCUGUCAAGUGACACCGGCGGCGGCCAUGUGUCACUCAGGGGCCUUAUUUAAUCACGUCCUCGCUGUUGUUCAGUGGCAGUUAGGCAUCAUGUUAAUAAUUCAGCGGCGUAAUAACCUAAAUUAGCAGAUUUGUAUCUUCUCUCCUGUUCAGAAACUUGUUGCCUUUAUCGAAGCCGUGUCUGCUCGCGCGGGUGAACCCGAUAAGCUUCAGAAGGUCAACAAGAGACCAAAAGAGCGAGGGGUGUUAAUCCUCGAUCUCAAGAAAACACCUCUCCAUCUCCAUCUCAUCUCCAUUAUGUGGAAAUAAUAUGAUAGAGAGCCCCAGGUCAUCGGACUACCUCCUCCAGAUGAAUAAGACGAAUCAUCUUUUCAUUACGGGCGUGAAAAGGGGAGAAAAGGAGUGAGGAGGGAGUGGAGGAGGAAAUGAGAAAGAAUAGAAUAUGAAGAUGGAUGUUUCACUCAGAGGAGAGGGAGAAGUUGGCCCCGCAGGUCAGCGGCUUUCAUCAGUUUAAUGUCUCAGCUGGUGUACAGUGUGUAAUUAGAGGACAAUACAAAGUGGAUUAUUAAUGUUUGAUAUGUGUUAGUCUUUAUUUUUCAUUACAACAAUAAAAACACAACAGAAUGUGUGAAUAACAAAAUUAUUUUUAAAAAUAAAAAUGAGGCACAAUGACAUGACAUUCACAAACGCCGGAGGGGGACAAAAAAAAUGAUCACAAAGGUUUGGGAAAGUGAUAUAUUUCGAUGAUUACGCACGACCUUGGAUGAUUUGUAUCGCACUUCCGCAAAGUCGCAGGACUCAUGAGAGACUGAUUAAAAAAAGGUGAUCAAAAUCAAGGUAGCAAAGGGUGAGAUAUGCCGACUGUAAAUCUUUAAUUUGGGUCAAACUCCAAAAAAAACACUGGAUCCUACAUCUCCCACAAUGCAGCAGAUGCAUGUUUUCAUAAGGCAGUCUCUGCAAAAAGGGAUGCACGAUGUGUAUCGAGCCAAGAAAUCAGCACGGAUAAACGAGUACCCUGAUGAUGGGAAAUGUUUAUCAUCUGCAAUAAUUUUGUUAAAAAAUAUAAAUAGAUGAUAACACAAAGCCGAUACAGUAGGUGCGGGUGUGCACCUUUUAAAGGACAAAUUAAAAAAUAUAUUAAAUCAAAUUCAUGUAAAUUUUCAUUCUUGGGUGAACUUUUUCCUUUAAAAGUUGCUUUCCCUGAUAAACACAGAGGGAGAAGAAGAAGCUGCUGUCGCGCUCAUGACAUUUAAACUGCUGCACAGGGAAGAAGAUCUGCCGAGUGUCGACCACGUGGAUGUUUUUCUACAGUUUCUGAGGAAGACGACAUGAUUUCAAUCUGCACGAUACGUUUCACAGGAGUUCUGUGGGGGGGGGGGGGGGGGGGGGGGGAAUCCGCCGGCUUU